AAUGUGUGUGAGAGGACUCCAGCUCCCAGCACGCUCCGGGCAAGCAACGUGGCCGGCAGGGAGUCGGCAUACAGUGAAGUCCCGCGGACCAUGGAGCGCCGCAGUAGGUUUUUUUCCCUCCCACCACGAUCAGCUACGUUAUUAUAAGGCUCUUUUUAGCUUAGUUUACUUAAUACUACUAACACAGCGAUGAGUUUAGUGUAAGAAAAACUUUUUGAUCAAAACACAGCUUGAGGGCUCUUAAUUCAGAUUCAAAACAGUUGCUCUCUUUCUUGACAAAACCCAUUGAAUCGGUAAUCUUUUCUUGUGACCGGGUCGAGGGAGGUGAUCUGCCGCUCGACACCGCUCUCCUGAGACCCCACCUGGAGCACUGUGACCAGUUCUGCAGCCCGUAUUACAAGAAUGGUCUGGAUGUGCUGGAAGGUGUCCACAGAAGGACCCCGAGGGUGAUCAGAGAGCUGGAGCUCUUCUCCUGUGAAGACAGGCUGAGAGAGUGGGAGUUGUUCAGUCUGCAGAAGAGAAGGCUCCCAGAAGACCUUAUUGUGGCUUUCCAGUAUCUGAAGGGGGCUCCAAGAAAGAUGGGGAGGGACUUUUUAGGGUGUCAGAUUUGUCAACUUCAGAGACAACUGUCUGGAGCUAGAAGUAACAUUCCCUCCAUGUGAAAAUACAGAAGAGGGCGAACAACAGGAAAUGUCUGCUAUUGAAUUCCUCCAUAUGUAUAUCCAGGAGUCACUUAAGAAAGCAAAUUCUCCUAGCAGUAAGGACUGAUGAAAGUAGCUAGCCUACUGAAAUAAGAAGAACAUAAAGCUAUCCUGAGCUUCAAAGUGAAAAUAAAAUAUAUUAGUUUUUCUUAUUUUAACCUGUUGUCUUUCUGGAAAUCUGAAAAGUUGUACUUCUGGCCCUUCCCUGCCACAAAAGCUAACGAAUAA